ACUUACUGAUCAGAAAAAUGUUCAAUGGGAGGAGUUACCUCAUGACAUCUUCCCAACAUCUUGAAGUGUUGGACGCCAGGGAAGCUGAUGAUGAAGAACCUGAGAUUGGUGUCCUCACAAAUUUUCUUUUUAAAGGAAAUAUUUCUUUUUAACUUUUUUUUAAAUUGCACUGAUUUCUUUAAAAGUAAAAAAAAAACCUUCACUAAAAUCAGUCAGUCAGUCAUCACAAUCUGUGAGGAGCAUAAGGGCAUUAAGGGUUUUUCAGGAAGCCUAAGUACCCAGGAAGGCUGCAGAAUGCAUAUCCUUGGAGAUACGAUUUGUAGAAUUAAACAAAGGAUUCACUAAACCCCUUCACAAGAUCAGAAACAUGGAAGAAAUUUGGUACUAGAUGCAGAGGAAGCACCACAGGUUGGGCUAAAAUAGUUCAAAUCAAAGGUUUCAUCCCUCCCUUGCCUGCCAAAUAAUGGAGAUUCAGUGGCUGAAAUGGCACUGAAAUUGAGGAGAGCGAGAGAGCGAGAGAGAGAGAGCACUUUCAUCCUGGCUGCUACAAUUGGCCAUUUCUCCUCCCAGAAGAUAAAGGCGCUGGUGCCAUGUCUUGCAUUUUUAUUCAUAUAAAAGAUGUGUGUAAUGUUUUCACUUCAUAGUCAUAAUCUGUCAUUAUUCUACACAUCUUACAAUUCCAGCUUUCUUUCUUUUGUGUACAUAGUUUGCAGCUUAGCUUGCUUGUCUUUAUUUUACAUACUGGUAAAAGCCUUUAUAAAGUGUUCACAAGGAUACUACAUUCUGUGUAAUGUAAUUUAG